AAUGCUUGCCUGUAGGAUCUCUCCUAAUCCCCUGGAGAAGAUCGUUGGAGCGGGGAUUCAUCCCCAAUCCCCGCUUCUGGCCUCGCCGACCUAAUCCCCUGGUCAGCGAGGCUUUUUA
rnacentral:sRNA from 1 species